rnacentral:rRNA from 1 species
CUGUCGUCAGCUCGUGUUGUGAAAUGUUGGGUUAAGUCCCGCAACGAGCGCAACCCUUAUCCUUUGUUGCCAGCGGUCCGGCCGGGAACUCAAAGGAGACUGCCAGUGAUAAACUGGAGGAAGGUGGGGAUGACGUCAAGUCAUCAUGGCCCUUACGACCAGGGCUACACACGUGCUACAAUGGCGCAUACAAAGAGAAGCGACCUCGCGAGAGCAAGCGGACCUCAUAAAGUGCGUCGUAGUCCGGAUUGGAGUCUGCAACUCGACUCCAUGAAGUCGGAAUCGCUAGUAAUCGUGGAUCAGAAUGCCACGGUGAAUACGUUCCCGGGCCUUGUACACACCGCCCGUCACACCAUGGGAGUGGGUUGCAAAAGAAGUAGGUAGCUUAACCUUCGGGAGGGCGCUUACCACUUUGUGAUUCAUGACUGGGGUGAAGUCGUAACAAGGUAACCGUAGGGGAACC